rnacentral:lncRNA from 1 species
CUAAUUUGUAUUAUGAAAUAUAAUGUGUUCUCUUUUUAUUUUAUUGAAAUGCUUUAAAACUUAAGAUCAGAGCUGGGUUAACAAUAUUUUCCAAGUAAAACACCAUCAAGUACAAAUAUUACCAAGGACCUCCAAGUUCCUUGUUAAGUGCCCUAUACAUUUACAUGAAAAGGGAUUUUUAAAAGUUUCCUCUAUUCCUUACUCCCCACUCAGUGCUGGUUAAUUAACCAAUCAUAAAGAAAAGAUGAAAGUAUGUGAACCUCAAAUCCUUGUGUUCUGGAAAAAAAACAUACUCACAGAAUAAUGAAAAAAAAUUUCAACUAAUGAGAACCAGGAACAAUGACCACUGGAAAUAAUGAAAACAGUUGGAUCAAACAGCUACAAGUAAAGCACUUGGAAUGGUAGAGUGCUUCCCUCAAUGGAUGGAAGGAGACUGGAUCCCUCUGACACUGACUGGAAGAGCUCUGCUAAGCAAAGCUGCGAGCUCAUGAAAGACUGUGAGGAGAGUAAGAGGUAACCUUUUAUUGUGUUAAGUCAUUAAUGUCAGGGUUUACUUGUUACUACAGCAUGGCUUCCUCUAACACCUCCUCUUAUCAACUGCCUUUUCUGAGUCUUUCCUUGACUCAUGAUUUUGAGUUAACUUAGUAAACUUACCAAAGGCUGACUUUGCACCAAGAAUCAUUAUAGGUACUGGAAAAUUUAAAAGAUGAAGGAGGUGGAGUCAUUUUUUCCUAAGGAGCUGGGAGAGGAGAUAAGAAAUGGGAUCAAAUAAUGAACAACAAGUUUCAAAGGGAUCAGAGUCCAAUAAAACCUGCCGCCUGAGCUCUUAAGAGAGAAAUGGAAAUCGUAGUUGUGAACAUCAGGCUUUCUAGAAGUGGCUGUACCAACAUCAGCCUUGAAAGAGCUCAAUCCAGCAGAUCCUGUCCCACUUGGAACCUGGCUAUGAGUGAGAAAACAUCUGUGGUUGGAAAAUGGGGCUGGUGAUUCAGGCCUGUUUGGGAAGAAGAUGCUCUUGAAUGCUUUGCUCAACAAACACCUCCCUUCUGCAAGGAGGUGAGAGGUCAUCUGUCUGUCUACUUUGACACUUUCACCCACUGAACUUCAGGGCUUAAGACACCUUCCCCAUAAAUUGGAGUGAGCGCGGCACAAACUGUCCCUGAAUUUGACCAUAACUGACUCACCAAAGGUCUGAGUAGGGGAGAAGGCAAAAACAGACAAACAGGCACUGAGGACUUUGCCAUCCCAGACCUGUGUCAUGUAAACAGGCUGUCUGCUUCACAGCCAAGGAAUGAGCCCUGGACGUGGGUCGGAACUGGAGCCUUAACAGCUAAUACCCAGAGCCUUUGACUGUGGACGACUGUGUUCAAAGGGGCAGGCUGCCCACUACUAGGGCAUGGAGGAGAGGCAGGAUGUGGGGAAAGAGUGUGGUUUUGGAAUCAGACACAACUGGUCCCCGCCACUUACUCAGCCUUGUGACCUCAGAUGAAAAAGUCUCUUAUUCUUACUAAGGCUCAGUUUCCCCAACUGUGAAACUGACAUAACACUAUGGACUUCAAAAGGCUUUACAAGCAAAACAAUUUAUAAAACAAUUUAUUCAACAAUUUAUUCAGGCACUUAGCACAGUGCUAGCACAUAGAUAUAAGUAACAGUUUUUUUUCUCUGUUCCUUCUACGUGGAGGAGAGGCAUCUGUUGUCUCUUCAAGUUAAUUAAUUUGAAAAUAUCCAGUAGCAACCAUUUCUUAAAUUCCUCUUACGAGCCAUUUAGUUUUGCAACAACUGCAAGAUAGACAGUAUUAUUCCCAUUUUACAGAUAUGGACAUUGAAGCUCAGGAGGUACACCGGAUAUAGUGACUUUGAUCUUCUCAUUGCCCUGACACUGAUGAGAGAGAGAUAACAAAAUCAAAAAGAACAGUUGGAGGAAUAAAUGUCAAAUAUAGGAGGCUGGAAGCAUAGUCUCUAACCUCAGUCUAGCCUCGGAUAAUAGCAUUUUCAUCUUGCUACAGCAGUAGCAGACACCAGCUGGGUGCCUUCUCCCUAUUUUAUUCAUUUGUAUGUUCAUUGAGCAAUUUAUCUAUUGCUAAUUCCUUAGCAAGCAUUUACUGUGACCUUCCUUUUAUUAUUACUAUUAUUAUUAUUCAUUUUAGAGACAGGGCUAUGCCAUUAUGUUGCCUACGCUGGAGGGCAGUGGUU